UCCGAACCUCUUCGGGAGACUACUUCUCGCGGUAUCUGACUCCUAGGCUCCGCCCUCUGCACGCCGCUCACGGUAUCUGACGCUCAGGCUCCGCCCCCUGCAUGUCUUUGUUGGCAAACAGUUCUGGGGGUCGUCCGAUCCUGCAGGUAGUGUCCGCGUGGGAGGGGAGGUGCAGCCGUCAGCGCUGCCGGCGGCUCCCGUUACGUGGGCUGGGAAGUUCAAGCACAUGGCUCUAGCUUCUGGUGAGAGGUUUCAGGCUGCGUCAUAAUAUGGCAGAGAAGAUCAAUGGGUAAAUGGACAUGUGUGAAGAAAGGCAAAACCAGAGACCGUCCAGGCUGGACUUGAACUCCUUCCUCGGCUGAAGUGAUCCUCCUGCCUCAGCGUCCUGAAUAGGUAGGACUACAACUGUGAGUCACUUUACUCAACCAGAAAUGGUGAAUGAUAAAAAAUGUUUAUAGAUCAUUGCUUCUAAAAAGACUAUAUUAGACACACUGUGGUACCCAAAACCAAAUGCUAGCUACUUUUUAACUCAAAAAUAAUUAGUCAGCUAAUGAUCUAUAUUUUGCUUUACAGUUUAACUUGACGAGUAGAAAAAUGUCAAGGUAUAAGACAAUGCAAAAUGUAGGGACAAAGAAGAAAACUUCCCCUUUCACCCUCUGAAGGUUUGCUGAAAAUGAACUGAAAAAGGCAGAGCAACAGGAGAAAAGGCAUGCGUUUAUUUUAACGUGCAUACCAUGGGGAAUUGCAGAAGAGUAAUGGCCUAAUAACCCAGCAGGGUCCAGAUGCCUGUCUACCCUCUCUUCUUAGGGAAGGCGGGGAUGAGGUGUGUAGGAGUAAAUGACAAAAGUUCCUCUGAGCUCUGGGGGAGGUGUUGGGAAGGUGAGGGAAGUGGAGCCAGAAUCCACAGAUGUCAUUAUCCAUCUGCACACUUUGUUUACUACCCAGAAGGCAAGAAUAUUGCAUUUUAAAAGUGCCCGGACUUUUGUUCUUUCUUAUCACAAAUGACUUGGGAAGCUCCGACCACUCAUGUUUACCCCGAGUGAAAGUCCCAUUCAAAGCCUUGCUUCCUGGAGAGCUUUGAGAUUCUGGUACAAAAGGCAUUUUAUAAGCACAAAGUGGAAAAGCAUCAUUCAUAUUCAUUUGCUGCUGCGGCAUUUCUCCCUGGAAUCUUCCUCUUGUCUGUCAACAUUGGGCAAAAGGACUGGCCUCAUCUACAUUACAGAUAUCCUUGUGAUGGUCUGGAGGUAGGAAAAGGACACCCAGCACAAGAGUGAGAAGGGAAACUCAAGCUCUCCUGUUGGAGAGUCUCAGGCUUCUUUAUCCAUAAAACUGAUUGGACAUAAUUGGUGUGGGUUUAUGAUUUGUUUUGGAAAAACCUGAGUAUGAAAUCAAUACUGUGCUUUGUGCGGGACCUGUGGGAGAGGCGGCCAUCCAGAGGGCUCUCUGAGGGGUCAUUUAGAAUGCAACUCUUCUGGGCAGAGGAUGGUCUGCACUGGCCUCCACCACGCAGGAAGGCUUCCAGAGUGGAGAAAUGUCCACUAACAUGGCUUCUGUGAGGUGUGGGCAGCUCUUUUCUUGGUGUGGGGCUCUGUUUGGUGUGAUGUAAGAGGUAUCACAGGGCUUUCCUGUCCCAGAAGAUCUUAGUGGAUGACACCUAUGGGGGUUGCCAGCUGGAUUAGGUGAGGCAGAGCACACAGCUCUACCUAAGGGGUCCCAUUCUCAUCUGGGAAUAUUCUAGGACAUAGGACACUACCCAAGAGGCAGAGCCUGGAGUGGCAUUAUACGGGUGAAAGAUCUGAGUGCCAGGUCCAUAUAAAUGAGUGGGGUUGGGGGGAUCGAGGUGCUUAGAGAACAGGAGAGCUGCCACAGGAAGGGAUGGUACCCACAGGGAGGAAGAACCAUGUCUCAGAUUCCUUCCUUUAUACCUCUUCCUGGGACCUCCUUGGAGUCUGCAGAUCAGCUGGUGCUUCUCCAUCUCCUGUCAUCUUCUUCAAAUCUUUUCAUCACAAAAAAUUUUCAGUGUAAACCUAAGUAGAGAGAACAGUAAAAGGAACCCCCAGGGGCCGUCACCAUCACCCACCAUCAACAGCGAUCAAUGGGCCGUCUAAGUCCGUUUUCCCUACUUUCAUCCCCGCUCCAGAUUAUUAUCAAAAGUAGCUCAUCCCUAGUUAUAUUUCAUUUAAUCCUCUCAGUUGCAUUUUUUUCUGGCCACGUUCUUCUGUCUGUCAAUCAUGGUCUUAAGUCAGACAGUCUGCUGGGUUGGCUAGGAAAAGACUCUUUCUUUCUCAAGAAAGAGUUGUAAGUAAUUUUGAGAGAAAUGUUGCAGAUUGACCAAACAAGGUAUGCUUAAUUUAGUUCAAUUCAUCAGUUACUUAUUGAGUCCUAGGCUUAGUGCUGGAUUCAACAUAUCAGUCAAUCAUGGUUUCUGGCCUACAGGGUUCAGUGCUCUAGUUCUGGGUGUGCGACGAGGACCACAGCAAGUAUUCACUCAGGAAAGGCAGAAUGUGGCCACAGGGAAAGGAAAGGUACAAGGUGUGGUGGAGGUUACAAGGCAUGACAAACACACUGGGCUGGGAAUGGUAACAGUGGAAGAGGAUCAGGAAGGGUCGUGAAGCCUGAGGCAUUGGAGAGGGACUUGGAAACCUGGGCAGACAGUGGGACGGUGACUGCAAAACACUCAAGUGUGCAGGUGGGAAUGGCAGUGGGGGACAGGCGAGCCUAGCAGCGAGAACACAUGGUGCAAGGGGCCCCAUGGGGGUUCUGGGGUGGAGGAGGUAGGCAAUUGGGCUCUCAAAGAAACCCUUGGGCUUUUUCUAGCUUAAUAAUAAACAAUUAUUAUUUCUAAGGAAAAAGAAAACUGGAUUUCUAGAAGCAUGGCUAUUAAAAAAAAAACAACUCCAGACCCCAAUUAGGAAACUGAAAGGAAAUCAAAGUGGGCCUAAUGGAAAUUAGGUAGUAGGGGCAAUAAAAGAAAAUGCAGGUAGCUGCCUAAAAUCCAGUGGACUCCAGGUCCACCAGCCAGGCACCACAUUGUUUUAACCUAUAAAUGAAGUAUGUCCAUGACUCUCACUACAUAAAAUGGAAGUUAAGCCAUAGUCCUUUUCCAAUGUGAUCUGAAAAUGUACUGUUUUUGCCUCUAGCAAAGCAAAUAUAUAGACAGAAAAUUCCUAGCACUGCUUUCACGCGAGGGAUGACAAAGGUGACAGACUCGGGCAAAAUGUUCAUAUUCUAUACGUGAAAUGGAAUGGUAACUUGAUUUUUCAAAAGGAUAAGAUUCUUGUUACAAAUUUAAGCAUAUUUAUUAAAGAAAACUCAAAUGGUCAUGUGCUGGGUGCUGGGAACACAAAAAUUAAUGUUUUCUGAUAACAGUAUUGUGUGUUUUUUUUAACUUUUAUUUUAGGUUUGAGGGUACAUGUAAGGAUUUGUUACACAGGUAUCAUUCUGAUCAUUGUUGUUACAGGAGAGAUGAGAGGAAGUUAGAGGGGCUAGAAGAACCAGGAGACCUGUUGAAAAUCAUGAAUACAAAGAGAGGUCGUUUGCUUCUGUGCUUCAAUUCUAUAAUAAAAUGAGUACAAUGUC
rnacentral:lncRNA from 1 species